AUUGUUACACUGUAUCUUAACUGUCAGA
rnacentral:piRNA from 1 species